CGGGGAAAGCGGCGAACGGGUGAGUAACACGUGAGUAAUCUGCCCUCGGCACCGGGAUAGCCCGGGGAAACCCGGAUUAAUACCGGAUGGCCCACCAGCCCUUCGGGGCGGUUGGAAAAGGUAGCUUCGGCCUCCGGCCGAGGAGGAGCUCGCGGCGGAUUAGCUUGUUGGCGGGGUAACGGCCCACCAAGGCGACGAUCCGUAGCUGGUCUGAGAGGACGAUCAGCCACACUGGGACUGAGACACGGCCCAG
rnacentral:rRNA from 1 species